CUUAACUCUAAGGUUGUUAUGUCAUAAUGUCACUACCUUUGUAUACUUAUAUUUGUUAACCUUUACUAGUGUCAUAUACACUACUUUGUUCUUGUACUCAUUCACUAAUGCCACACUUGUUUUCUAAGUGUUCAACUCUAGCACUCUUGACUCAUCAAUGCCAUUUUCUACAUUCAUAUCCACAUGUCACAUUUGUUCUCUAAAUCCACUAAGUUCUUGUCAUUUAUCAUGCAUACGUAGGGUUAUUAAAAUUCUCACAUGCAUUUGAACCCACAACAUGCAAAAAGAAGCUUACAAUUACCCUACUAU
rnacentral:lncRNA from 1 species